UACGGAGGGGGCCAGCGUUGCUCGGAAUCACUGGGCGUAAAGGGCUCGUAGGCGGUCUGAUAAGUCCUGUGUGAAAUCCCUUGGCUUAACCAAGGAAUUGCGCCGGAUACUGUCGGACUAGAGGCCGGGAGAGGGAAGCGGAAUUCCGAGUGUAGCGGUGAAAUGCGUAGAUAUUCGGAGGAACACCGGUGGCGAAGGCGGCUUCCUGGACCGGUUCUGACGCUGAGGAGCGAAAGCUAGGGUAGCAAACAGG
rnacentral:rRNA from 1 species